GGAAGCGUCGCAUAGUGGCCAAUUGCACAGGUUUGCUAAACCUGAACCCUUUUGGGUUUCGUGGGUUCGAAUCCCACCGCUUCCG
rnacentral:tRNA from 1 species